UAUUAUAUUAUAUUUAUAAUAUAGAGAUAGUUAAAGAAGAUUAGAAUACAAAUUUCUGUAUAACUGGGAGCAAUGUUUCGAUUAUUAUUGGCUUAUUUGUGGGACGAACAGUGGAGUAAUUAGAAUGGUUGAUUAAAUCUUUAAUGGAUUCGAUUGUUAUUUGACUGAGAAAUUCAUUGAAAUAUAGGCAAUAUAUACCAAUAGCUAUCUAAUAUAGUCACAAUUGUGUAUAGUUCAUUCUCUUUGUAGGAAGCAAUGUUGUAUAUAUCUUCAAAAGGAGGAAAGCAGAAUUAAAUCAUUAACAUAAUAUUAGCUGUAAAACACUUUGCACUCAGUUUCUGGCUUUCGUUAUUAUGAAGACACGUUUCAAAAGAUAAAUUCUAGUGUUUAAAUUACAAUGGUGGAUAAACUAAAUCACCAAGCUAUUUUAAUGAUAAGUUUGACCUCCAUAACUGGAUACUAUUCUGCAUGCAUUAAUUCAUAAUCUGUAAUUUUAUCGGGAGCAAAUAAUACGAUAAAAAAAAAGGUAAGUUCUAAAAUUUUUGAAAGCUUUCACUUAACACGUUAUUUUUGCAGAUAUCAUCCCUUGUUUAUCGUUCAACUUUUAUAAAUAAAGUUUUUUCGUGUCUCCAAAAAUAGCAGAGGCAAUUAAGUUUUGUUUCACCUCUCGUGCGUUUCCACAUAAAACGUCCCACGUUCGAGAGUCCACAGUCUUCGAAGAAUUAUUUACGAGGAUGCAGUGAACGAGAACGUAAUAAACAUCGAAGCCGAUUACGGAAUAAAAGUCGAAGGCGUGCCAAUGGAUGACAUUUCCUAAUCGAAACAAUGGGACUGUUUCAUGGAAGAUUGUACCUAGGAGAUUAGCGGAAAGAGGGUGUCAAUGGAGUUGGUCAGUUGAGUAGAACGUUUCCUGGGAUGAUUUUCCGUGAGAAUUAUGGGCACAGUUUCCAUGGAAAUUUAUAAUUAAUUUUUGUGAGAAAAUUGGAUAUUUUAGAAUAUUAUAAUCGUAAUUUUGAAUCAAUUUUUUUUUUUUAAUGACUUUUAAUAUUCUAGGAUUGAACAUUAUAAUAUAAGGAAUAUUAUAAUCUUAAUGGGAUCAAUUUUCACAAGAAUUUUCAAUAUUUUAUAGUAUUAAAAUAUCCAUCUAUUCAAUAUUCACACAAAACCAAUAAUAUUCCAAUACCCAUACAAUCUUUCCAUUUUUAUUUAAAUUUCCAAAUUUAAUUUAUUUAAAUUUACGAUAAAUGCAUCCAUCCAUCCAUCCAUCCAUCCAUUUAUCCAUCUAUAUAAUACUUCUCUAAAAAUCUCAAUUUCCCUAUGUUUUAGUUAUAAAAUCUUUUUACCGACCAUCGGUAACCGAUCAACAAGAAAGAUAUCUCCACCAUUAAAGAGUUGAAGACAUGAAUCGUGACUCUCGUAACUCUUUGAGCACAAGUUUUUCACGAUCGUGAAACGAAAGCAAAUAUCGUAUAUAUUUACGAUCGUAGCACGAGA